AACGAACGCUGGCGGCAUGCCUAACACAUGCAAGUCGAACGAGACCUUCGGGUCUAGUGGCGCACGGGUGCGUAACGCGUGGGAAUCUGCCCUUGGGUUCGGAAUAACAGUUGGAAACGACUGCUAAUACCGGAUGAUGACGUAAGUCCAAAGAUUUAUCGCCCAAGGAUGAGCCCGCGUAGGAUUAGCUAGUUGGUGAGGUAAAGGCUCACCAAGGCGACGAUCCUUAGCUGGUCUGAGAGGAUGAUCAGCCACACUGGGACUGAGACACGGCCCAGACUCCUACGGGAGGCAGCAGUGGGGAAUAUUGGACAAUGGGCGAAAGCCUGAUCUAGCAAUGCCGCGUGAGUGAUGAAGGCCUUAGGGUUGUAAAGCUCUUUUACCCGGGAUGAUAAUGACAGUACCGGGAGAAUAAGCUCCGGCUAACUCCGUG
rnacentral:rRNA from 1 species